ACACUGCCGAAUGCCACCACGCGCGCGUUAUUUUCACCGACUACUGUGGUAGGGUUAGAGAACACGGAAAAAUUUACCAAGCUGAUUCCAAUAUCUCGUCAACCAGGAUUUUAUCACAAUAAUUUAGGAGCUUACGAUUCGACGUCGAUUCGAACCGCGUGUAGCAGCACCGUUCGUCUACGAAUUGAUAACUGGCGUUCAUUGAAAAACAUAAACACGGAUACCCCUGCGCGAAUUUUUGUGAUCAGUUUUCGGCGGCAAGUGGGCCCUGGUGGGCCUGGGAGCGUGAGAGGGUUCUGCUCGAUCCACUCUACCUAACGAACUCGCACAAUCAUUCGUAGCAGCAAAAAUAGUGUCUGUAUGAAAGCUUGAGAUGAGCGGGUAGAGAGUCAGUACGUAUGACUACUUGUCAACUGCGACUUCGAAAUGUGGAUCAGCUCGAUCAUCCCCGUGAGAAGAGAGUACCCGCGUCCACCGCCAACAACCCCCAACUACCUCUGAGCACCUCGAACCACCUCCGACCACCUUCGUCCUCCUCGGCCACCUCGUCCCCCUCCUCAUCUUCCCCCUUGUCGUCCGCGUCCUCAUUAACCACCUCUGAUCACCACCAACCACCUCAAAAUACCUACCGCCUCCAAACAUUUGAUGGCAAUUUACUCGGGGUAUAACCCGAGGUGGUUGGCGGUGGUCGUCGGAG